rnacentral:rRNA from 1 species
UACGUAGGCAGCAAGCGUUGUUCGGAAUUACUGGGCGUAAAGGGUGUGUAGGCGGUUGUUUAAGUUUGGUGUGAAAUCUCCCGGCUCAACUGGGAGGGUGCGCCGAAUACUGAGGGACUAGAGUAUGGGAUGGGAAAGUGGAAUUCCUGGUGUAGCGGUGAAAUGCGUAGAUAUCAGGAGGAACACCUGUGGUGUAGACGGCUUUCUGGACCAUAACUGACGCUGAGACACGAAAGCGUGGGUAGCAAACAGG